UACAGUCAGAUGAAAACAUGCAUAAAUAUUCAAAUGAAAUAUUCUAUGAAGAACUUGAUACAUGUUGAAUUCACUAUUAUCAUACCUGACUUUUUGAGCAUCAGCCCAAGAAGGAUUGAACAUGGAGAAAAAGAGAAGCCAUCUGCAGGUAUCCAAGAUUCAGGGGGUCUGCUAAAUUCCUCACCAUUGCAAGUAGUGUCCAAUUCUCAAAGAUUUACAUAGGACCUUCUACUGCUCACCCAGUGAUAUUUAAUUAAUUGAGGAAGCAAGUAAUAAAGUUUUAGGAAGGACACUAAUACUUGUAACUGAAGCUUAGGAAGAAAUUAACAAUCAAAUGUCCAGAAAGCAGAAAGCAAGAUAGUCCCAAGAAGCUCAACAGCAUCUCUCUGCAGUUCUGCCAUUAUUGAAUCAGCUCAAAGGAUCCCCAGUCAUUGUGUCUCUUUCCCAAGUUUCAAAUUCUCAGGAAUUGGCAUGAAAGCCCCAAACCAAAGGCUUACAUGCUAUGUCUAGGAACUGCAAGAAAUGGGGGCAGGGAGCAGCCAUAUUCCAUUCCCCCAUCUUGGACAAGAGUGAGGAGCCUUGAGCUACAGACCCAGGGACGCCAAGAAUCCAGACAUCGCAGUGGUAGAUCUCUGUGAGUAACAGAGCACACCCU